rnacentral:rRNA from 1 species
GAUUGAACGCUGGCGGCAUGCUUUACACAUGCAAGUCGAACGGCAGCACGGAAGAGCUUGCUCUUUUGGUGGCGAGUGGCGAACGGGUGAGUAAUGCAUCGGAACGUACCGAGUAGUGGGGGAUAACUGUCCGAAAGGAUGGCUAAUACCGCAUACGCUUUGCGAAGGAAAGCGGGGGCUCUUCGGACCUCGCGCUAUUCGAGCGGCCGAUGUCUGAUUAGCUAGUUGGUGGGGUAAGGGCCUACCAAGGCGACGAUCAGUAGCGGGUCUGAGAGGAUGAUCCGCCACACUGGGACUGAGACACGGCCCAGACUCCUACGGGAGGCAGCAGUGGGGAAUUUUGGACAAUGGGGGGAACCCUGAUCCAGCCAUGCCGCGUGUCUGAAGAAGGCCUUCGGGUUGUAAAGGACUUUUGUCAGGGAAGAAAAGCUUUGGGUUAAUACCCCGGGGUAAUGACGGUACCUGAAGAAUAAGCACCGGCUAACUACGU